UGCUGUCAGUUUACAUUAAAAUAUCUGCAAUUCUUCCAAGAUUUCUAAACAUAUCUUUCAACUUAAAAUUGUUAUUUUGUUAAAUAUGUAGUUAUUAUUUAUUUUUAUAUAAUUUUACAAUUGUUGAUAUUGUAUUGAAAUUUUCUAAAUGCCACCAAAAAAUGUUGACGCACGCUCUGUACGCGUGGCUGGUCAUAUCGGCAGUCGCGGCGCCUGACGACUAUCAAUACUGCUCGGUGCGGUACCGACGCCUCUGCCUGGGCAAGGGGAGACAUGUCGCCUGCCAAUUCCCUGAACCCGGCCCCGGACUAUCGUGUGAAAACUAUACAGAGAUAGCAUUCACCGACGAACUAAAGAAUUUCGUGACACAUUACAUCAAUAGACGUCGUCAACGACUUGCGUCGGGGAAUGAAAGAGUUCGUGGCGGGAUACAUUUACCGAAACCACGAAUUAUGAUGUUAGUGGAAUGGGAUCGCGAACUGGCUUUCCUCGCGCAAAGACUUGCAGAUCAGUGCAGUUUUGUACACGACGACUGUAGGGCGACAGUCCGCUAUCCAUACGCAGGGCAGACAGUGGGGGAAGUAAGGUGGCGUAAGUCGAGCGACUCGGAUACACUGAGUGCACUGCGCGGGAUCCGUCGCGUGCUGGACGCGUGGUGGGGUGAGAGGAGGCGGGUCCAGCCGAGGCAGCUGACUUCACCGUUUAAGUUGACCUCUAGAGGAGCAGUGUGGGGCCAUUUCACCCAGCUCGCAGUAUGGAGGCUCCGCGCAGUGGGCUGCGGCGCUGUUCGCCAUAGUCUUCCCAAGCCUCGACUUCUUCUCGUCUGUGACUUCUCACAUACCAACAUGUUGGGUCAGAAGACCAUUUCACCGGGGCCUUUGGACCCCUGUCCUAUACACACUGAGAGGCGACCCAGGUCUCAGUACCCUUUGCUUUGCGGGCCGGUUCGCCGACCAUCAGAAAAGAAUGCAAGACAUUAUGACGACGAUGAUAAUGAAUCUGAAGAAGACGAGGUAUUGGAGACGAGGCUUCGGAUCGGCUCAGCACCACGAAAAAAAAUAUACACGACGAAAAUGCAACCCAGCAAAGACUAUAAAAUACAAGCCAAAAUGUUGGCUGUAACAAAAGCAGUAAUCAUAGACAAGAUUGAAAAGGAGUUAUCAAAGAAAAAAGGUGAACAUAAAACCCAUGAAAGCCACCUUCAAACUAUAGCUACCGUUGCACAUCCCGAGCGACCUACAAAAAGGCAUUACUUUGGAAAAUGGCGCGAGAGUCAAGAAGCUGCGGACCGUGCGAUAAUCGUGGAACAACCUAUAUCUUAUUCCGUAUUAGAUCAGCAAAGUCUCACAGUCACCAUGGACCCAGCAAGGCCCACUAUUACACGAGCAACACAAGCAAGGAUUAGAUGGAAGCAGACAAGAGAUCGACCUGUAAGGUAAAUGUUGAAUUAAUACGAUGUAUUAUGGAAAAUCAAUCAACAAGAAGCCAAGAACAACGAUGUUGCUAGUCGACACAUUUAUGCUGGCCAAUUGUCCAAAAUAUUGAACGGACCAAAUGUCGGCCGAGUCCAUUCUCCAAAAAUUGCGAAUGUGAGAUUUGAACCCAGCCAGGCGCAAACGCACUUCUGAAUGUACAAAGUCCAAAAGCAAUCUCGGCUGAGAGAAGACAGUCUGUGGCUUCCCUGGUGCUGGAUAAAGAUGACGUAGACCAGUUG